UGAGUUAAUUAUACGGUCGCGGGCCGCGAAUGCGGCGUGAGGAAAGUCCGAGCAUCGCAGGGCAAGGGUGCCUGUUAACGGCAGGAGAAGGCGACUUCAAGGAAAGUGAACAGAAAUAUACCGCAGCGCUCGCGCUGUAAGGUUGGAAUGGCGAGGUAAGAGCUCACCGUCUCUUUGGUAACAGGGAGAGCCAAUUAAACCCCACCCGAUGCAAGAUUGGGCUAUCGGCUUGCUUGAAUGCAAAGGCUGCCCGUCUGACGAUAGCCGUAAAUAUCGCUUGAACGUGCAGGCGACUGCGCGUCUAGAUAGAUGACCGUACACGACAGAACUCGGCUUACAGAUUAAACUCAAAUU
rnacentral:RNase_P_RNA from 1 species